GGCCAGAAAGCUUCAUCGAAGACGACGUCUCAGUUUCCAAGUUUGGCGGAAUACACUGGAGACAAGCUCUUCUUUCUUUCUGCUGGCAUUGGGAUGUGCCUGUACAUGCGUGAUCUGAAACUCCGUUUUCCGGAUCGAACAAAGCAAUACAGCUCAGCACAGGAGAGGAUCAACUUCCCGCUUGGGAACAUGAAGGAAUUCAGCGACGCCUUUGGCUGCAAAAGUAGUGACUACAUGAAUUUC